rnacentral:lncRNA from 1 species
GACAUCUUGCUGUGCCCUUGGGUGUUUUUGAGGACGAGCGGCUCUGCACUAAUUCUUUACAUGGCCAGGUAACUUCUCAAGUGGCUACGCUUUGGCUGAGACCCUCUUUCUUGAAUGUUAGUUGGGGCACCUGGUUUGAGAUAAAAACAUUCCUGACAGCCAUUCUAUUCUCACUUGGUGGGUCCUACAUUUAGAUUACCUACUUUGGGGCGUCCAUUGUCUCAGUGCUGAGGAGAGCCUUGAUCACUAAUUUCAUUAUGUCUUGUUCGGUAUUUUUCAGGUCCCCCCCUUUUUUUCAAUGUUCACCAACUUGCUUUGGUUUCUAUGACUUCUUUUAUACUGGUUGCUUAGCGUUGGAAACUUCUAUUUUGUUUCUCUGGUUGAUUUGGUCUUCAUGGAAUAGAUGUACUUUUGAUGGAUGCCCCUCCUCCAUCAUGGUACUCUUUCAGUUCUUAGGGCUUCUUUUGUGGAGAUUUCUCGUGCAUCUAGAAUGAUGGGUUACAUGGUGAAUACGGUGCAAGAUCUUCAAAUUCUGCCUACUUUUGCUGUUGCUGGGAGAGCUACACCUCCUCCCACCGGAAAGGAUGCAAUAUGGUCAGUAUAGAUGGGUCUACCUCAGGAACUCCAGGUUCUAUGUUUAAUCGCAGUAAUUAUUACAGUUAUUGAGAUAGCUUAUGGGCAUUUUCUUUGGCUGGGAUCUGACUCCAUGUAUGUGUUGUCCUUGUUAUCUCUGGUUUCAUAAAGUCCAUUGGCGUUUAAAAUCUCACUGGAUUAGGAUUUUGGAGAGGCUUCAGCUUAAAUAUUUUCGGGUUCUGAAUAUUUUUCAGGAAGGUAAACAAGUUGCGGAUAAGCUAGCUAAUCUGUCGUCCAAAAUCGGCUGGUGACCUUCAGUACACCCUUGGAUAUUUUGAUUUUAGUUGACAGGGACAUGCACUCUAAUGGAUUUAUUCGUGUUUGUUCUGGAAUUUAG